rnacentral:rRNA from 1 species
CUCCUACGGGAGGCAGCAGUGGGGAAUAUUGCACAAUGGGCGCAACUGGAGUGCAGCGACGCCGCGUGAAGAAUGGAGGCCUUCGGGUUGUAAACCUCUUUUGUUAGGGAGCAAGGCAUUUUUGUGUUGAGUGUACCUUUCGAAUAAGCACCGGCUAACUACGUGCCAGCAGCCGCGGUAAUACGUAGGGUGCAAGCGUUAUCCGGAACUAUUGGGCGUAAAGGGCUCGUAGGCGGUUCGUCGCGUCCGGUGUGAAAGUCCAUCGCUUAACGGUGGAUCCGCGCCGGGUACGGGCGGGCUUGAGUGCGGUAGGGGAGACUGGAAUUCCCGGUGUAACGGUGGAAUGUGUAGAUAUCGGGAAGAACACCAAUGGCGAAGGCAGGUCUCUGGGCCGUUACUGACGCUGAGGAGCGAAAGCGUGGGGAGCGAACAGGAUUAGAUACCCUGGUAGUCCACGCCGUAAACGGUGGAUGCUGGAUGUGGGGCCCGUUCCACGGGUUCCGUGUCGGAGCUAACGCGUUAAGCAUCCCGCCUGGGGAGUACGGCCGCAAGGCUAAAACUCAAAGAAAUUGACGGGGGCCCGCACAAGCGGCGGAGCAUGCGGAUUAAUUCGAUGCAACGCGAAGAACCUUACCUGGGCUUGACAUGUUCCCGACGAUCCCAGAGAUGGGGUUUCCCUUCGGGGCGGGUUCACAGGUGGUGCAUGGUCGUCGUCAGCUCGUGUCGUGAGAUGUUGGGUUAAGUCCCGCAACGAGCGCAACCCUCGCCCCGUGUUGCCAGCGGAUUGUGCCGGGAACUCACGGGGGACCGCCGGGGUUAACUCGGAGGAAGGUGGGGAUGACGUCAGAUCAUCAUGCCCCUUACGUCCAGGGCUUCACGCAUGCUACAAUGGCCGGUACAACGGGAUGCGACAGUGCGAGCUGGAGCGGAUCCCUGAAAACCGGUCUCAGUUCGGAUCGCAGUCUGCAACUCGACUGCGUGAAGGCGGAGUCGCUAGUAAUCGCGAAUCAGCAACGUCGCGGUGAAUGCGUUCCCGGGCCUUGUACACACCGC